rnacentral:rRNA from 1 species
AGGGUGUAAACGCUGCAGACUUGGUGUUGGAGGCCCUUUGGGGGCGAUUCAGUGCCGGAGAGAAGUUGUUAAGUCUGCUACUUGGGGAGGUACGUCCGCAAGGAUGAAACUUAAAGGAAUUGGCGGGGGGAGGCACCACAACAGGUGGAGCCUGCGGUUUAAUUGGAUUCAACGCCGGACAUCUCACCGGAUAAGACAGCUGAAUGAUUGUCAAUCUGAAGGUUUUACAUGACUAGCUGAGAGGUGGUGCAUGGCGUAGACGUCU